GCUUAACACAUGCAAGUCGAACGCGAACGAGUUCUUCGGAACUUUAGUAGAGUGGCGCACGGGUGAGUAACGCGUAAGUAAUCUACCCUCGCAUCUGGGAUAACCCACCGAAAGGUGUGCUAAUACCGGAUACGUCUAAGUUAAUAUCUUUUUUUUAGAGAAAGGUGGCCUCUGAUUCAAGCUACUGUGCGGGGAGGAGCUUGCGUACCAUUAGCUAGUUGGUAGGGUAACGGCCUACCAAGGCGACGAUGGUUAGCGGGUCUGAGAGGAUGAUCCGCCACACUGGAACUGAAACACGGACCAGACUCCUACGGGAGGCAGCAGUGAGGAAUAUUGCGCAAUGGGGGCAACCCUGACGCAGCGACGCCGCGUGGAUGAUGAAGGCCUUCGGGUUGUAAAAUCCUGUCAGAUGGGAAGAAGUGCUAUAUGGUUAAUAUCUGUAUAGUUUGACGGUACCAUCAAAGGAAGCACCGGCUAACUCCGUGCCAGCAGCCGCGGUAAUACGGAGGGUGCAAGCGUUGUUCGGAAUUACUGGGCGUAAAGCGCGCGUAGGCGGCUAUGUAAGUCAGAUGUGAAAGCCCGCGGCUCAACCGUGGAAGUGCAUUUGAAACUGUAUAGCUUGAGUACUGGAGGGGGUAGUGGAAUUCCCGGUGUAGAGGUGAAAUUCGUAGAUAUCGGGAGGAAUACCGGUGGCGAAGGCGACUACCUGGCCAGAUACUGACGCUGAGGUGCGAAAGCGUGGGGAGCAAACAGGAUUAGAUACCCUGGUAGUCCACGCCGUAAACGAUGUCAACUAGGUGUUGGAGUGGUUAAUCGCUUCAUUGCCGGAGCUAACGCAUUAAGUUGACCGCCUGGGGAGUACGGUCGCAAGAUUAAAACUCAAGGAAUUGACGGGGGCCGCACA
rnacentral:rRNA from 1 species